UACGUAGGGUGCGAGCGUUGUCCGGAAUUAUUGGGCGUAAAGAGCUCGUAGGCGGUCUGUCGCGUCUGCUGUGAAAACCCGCGGCUCAACCGCGGGCCUGCAGCCCGAUACGGGCAGGCUAGAGUUCGGUAGGGGAGACUGGAAUUCCUGGUGUAGCGGUGAAAUGCGCAGAUAUCAGGAGGAACACCGAUGGCGAAGGCAGGUCUCUGGGCCGAUACUGACGUGAGGAGCGAAAAGCGUGGGGGAGCAAACAGG
rnacentral:rRNA from 1 species